AAAUCUAUUUAAUUGAUGUAAUAAGAGGAUGAACUUUAUAAAUUAAUUAUAAAGUGAUAAAAUUAUGUUAUAUGCAAAAAGGGAAAAUAUAUAUGGCUGCAAUUGUCAAGUUUGUUAAUAUUAUUAUUAUUAUCUUUCUUUUCUUAUUCCUUGUUGCAACGAAUGUUGUAGGUAGAAAAUGUUUUACUGAAUCUGAUUGUCCAAGAACUAUGUGCCCAAUUACUAAGCUGUUGCAGUGUAUUAGAAAACAAUGUGUGUGUGUUACUAAUUGGAACAUCCAUGCUCCCACAUGAUUCCUAGUGCCAGAUAUCCAUGAGCUACACAUACACACUACAAUAGUAUUCUAUGAGAUGUUAUUUAAUUAUUGUGUUUGUAUUCAAUAAUUUUCAUUUUUCUUUCUUUUUCUAAUAUCAACAACCGCUACUAGAAAAACUUUGCCACUAUAUUUGGUCUAGUGGUGAGGAGUUUGGAUAGUAUGCUAGAGAUCUUGUGUUUGCAUUUUUAUAUAUGAAAAUAAUCCGCAGGCAUUCCUAAGACUUUUGCUGCGGAAUUCACCACCAAGAAGAAGUAAUUUCUUGCAGAUUUUGAUUUUUCAAAAAAAAAUCCGCAAGUAACAACUAUAUUUGAUAAUGAAAAUCCACACGGUUACUCUCUUGCAUCAAACCUGUUUAGUAAAUCCAUAUAGUUAAUUCCGGAGGUAUUACUUACUGCGAAGAUAACAGAAUAACAAUUUUUACUUUAA